AAAAACUUAAAGAGCAGAGGGCAACUUUAUGUGAAGUGAUAAGCUUUGAAUAUACAAAUUACACAGGUUGAAAAGAAAACACAAAUAGUUGCCUUUGGUAGUCAUUCAGCCAAAGUUUCAAUGAAACUGUGAAUGUCAGUUAUUCCGCAGUUUCAACACAUCGUGAUAGUUGAUGAUUCAACUAAGAACUGAUCCCAGGGAGAGGCUGUCAAACCACAGGCUUCAUCCCAUUUGCUUCAGAAUGUAUAAAAUAGCUGUGCUAUUCCAGGGCCAGUCACUUCCAUUUCUUAUAACACCAUCCCAGAGAAGGAACGGACUGGGAAGUUUGAGAUUACAUCUGAGUAAAAUGAAAGUUCUCCUUCUGCUCACAGCCAUCUUGGCAAUAACCAUUGGUUUCCCGGUCUCUCAAGACAAGGAAAGAGAAUCACGAAGUGCCAGUGGGAGUGAUGAACUAUCAUCACAGUUCUUUUAUCCUCCUUACCAAUAUCCACACAACCAUUAUUCACGAUUCCUCUGUCCAUGGUGGGCCUAUUUUUAUCCUCCCAUUCCAGUACCUGCAUCUGUCUCUGCAGCUACCCCUGAUAAUGAGAAGUAAAUAAGAAAGAGAAGUCCCAGUGCAAUUUAAGAUGAAAUAGGUGGUCACUGCAAAAUUGAACAUGAGCCACUUCCUUGAAGAAUCAAUAUUCCUGUUAAUCAUAGAAAAAUAAAUGUGAUUAAAGAAGCAUACAAGAUCAUGGUUUCCCAUUUUCUAAAUCUGCAUUGCCGGUAGGAAUGCAAAAUAAAUUUUAACAGAUUAAUUUAAUACACACUUCGUGAUGAUAGCUAUUCCAAGGAAAGUACUGGAGUGGAAGUAACCAGAAUUCACUAGCCCUGGAAUUACCUUGACUGAAAGCCUACUCAGUAGCUUAUGUUAUUGUAGCGUAAGAGAAUUAGAGACGAUACGGUUCCGAAAAAGAAGGAGACAAGCACUUUACAGGAACAGAUCACUUUUAAUGAGGAGAGAAGGAACAGCAGUCAGAUUAGAGAGCUGCUGCAUUAAGUUAAGAAGAGAGUAGGUAUAUAUAUGCAGAGAUACAUUGUUUUGAGGGGGUCUGUUUUUCCUCAUGAUUAUUUUUGAUUAGUUAGCUUUCUACAACUGGGAUAAGGAGUUCCUGAGACCGCCAGAGACUGGGAUUAGCUGGGAGCUGAACAUAAUCAAUCCUAACAUCCUUUCCUUUCUUGGAGGAGAAAGUUCUUUAUUCUGUAUAGAAUGGUGGGGAGAAGAACCUGGAGGGGAGUUUUAACUCCAGGCUAUUGUGUAGCUUUCCUUCAGUUAUGUAGUUCUACUG
rnacentral:lncRNA from 1 species